GGCGGAGUGGCCGAGUGGUUUAGGCAAGGGCCUGCAAAGCCCUGCACGCGGGUUCGAUUCCCGCCUCCGCCU
rnacentral:tRNA from 1 species